GGCUGGAGGACCCACAGGAGGAGUAGGUGGAGCCGGUGGAGGAGGCGGGGGUGCUGGGGGGUUCAACACAGCUGACAUUUGCGUGAGCUGGUGCUGACCUGGCCUGGUGUGGAUCUUGGGAUUUUUCAGAGUCCUCGGGGUGAAGCCUGAUCUGAUCACUGGUUCUACUGAAAAAAACCUCCAUGUGUU